rnacentral:lncRNA from 1 species
UUUCAUAUGGAAGCUCUGAAACAAAAUGAGGUGGCCUAAAAUUAAGGAUGAGAAAAAUUCACUGUAGGUCAUAAAACUUGAGCCGGAUGACACUUUGGUACCACUACUUCAAAAUACCCGAACUACGGUCCAUAUACUUGCGCACAGGGUUCACUUUGGUCCGUAUGUACGAUUUUGUUUACGUAUUCGCUGACUUGGCCGAGUCAGCGGCCGCCAGCUAGGCUUUGACCGCCACGUAGUCGAUCCUAGGGUGAAUACUACUCGAUACGGGGUUAUUUUUGCAAAAUCGCCAUGACCAGCUCCCUGUCCGUCUUCUUCCCCAUGGUGGGCUUCCUCAGGAACAGCUUGAUCUUCCUGCCGAGCCAGCCGUGGUGCUUGGUGGCGCGCGGUGGGCUGAACCCAUACAGAGCGAUGCGGCGGAAGAUGCAGCCUCCGACGUACAUGGGGCCCUGCAGCCCGUCCAUGGCGCGCAUGGCGACAUCGAAGAAGACGAGGUUGUGGUUGGCGUACCGGUCGUUGGGGUCGAUGCCCUCGAACCGCUGCGGGAACUGCACGUAGCAGACGCGGUCGCCGCGGCAGUCGAGCAUGUAGCACAUCCCUUCGCGGAGCGCCGCCGAGUUGUGCACGUAGUGGUCGCAGUCCAGGUUGAGGAUGAAGGGCCCGUUCGACAUGAUGGCACUCGUCCUGACCAGCGCGUUCAUGGCGCCGGCCUUCUUGUUGUGGUUGUACCCGGGCCUCUUCUCGCGCGAAACGUACACCAGCAUCGGCAGCCGGAUGUCCACGCCCGUCGUGUCGACCAGCGCGUUCAUCAAUCAUUUGGAGAAGAUACAUGAGCAUUUCGAAUCGAUUGAACAAGCAUUUCGAAAGGAUUUAGUAUGUCAGCUGCAACAACAUCUAUGGAUUCGAUCAAUCACCUGAAUGAUGCCAGCAUGGUUGCCGCGCGCGUGAUCCGUCGCCCCGGCGAGCCAAGUGCUGGCCCACUGGGAGCCGUCAGACAUCCAUGUCGCUUGUUUUUACACGAGGAAUUGGUACCUGUAUGGGCUGAGUAUGGCCUGAGAGACGCUGGUCUUCCUCGUCGGGGGCCGGCAGCAGCGGGCACCGAAGUUGGGCGGCUCCUCGAUGCCGACGAAUCCGAAGGUGGCCCCAGCGUUGUUGCCGCCGCCGCCGUGCUCGUUCUCGGGCCAUAGAGCGUUGCCGUAGCUGUAGGUGCCCUUGGUCUCGAAGAGCCACCGGGCGUGGUCGAAGUCGGCCGGCUUGUCGUUGCUGCUGGACAUAGGCAUCUUGAUGGAGUGCACCAUGGAGAAGCGCUUGGACAUGGAUGUCAUGGGCAUCUGGUCCCUCUCCUCCGACGAGGAGAUGGCGUCGUCGUCGUCCUCGUCGACGGAGUCGUCGGUGUCGCUGCCGGCAGAGUAGGCCUCCUUGCAGCCUGGGCAGUUGCCGGAGGCGGCGACGCAGUCCAUGUAGCACUCCUCGCAGAUCAUAGGGCGGGUGGCGGCCAACGCCAGCAUGUCACAGCCGCGCAUCUUGCAGGACAUGUUGACAGAGGCGGCCGGCCGAGCGCCGUCGGCAGAGUUGCUAAGCACGUGGGCGCACGUCGCGCAGUUGAGGCCGCCGGUGAAGAUGGUGCCGGAGACGUAGCUCCUCUCCGGCAGCACCUCCCCAUCCUCCUCAGCUGCGGGCGCGUCCGUGGACGCGGACGCCGUGGUCCUGUCCGGCGUGGGCGGGAUGUGCAAAACCACCCCGAUGACUCAACAUGCAUGCCAGGCUGCCGAAGGCCCGAAGCUCACGUGUAUUCUCCGAUGCCCCAGGCCGUCUCCACCAGGUCCCUGGCCCUGGCCCGCAUCUCCGCUCCCUCGCUCCCUGUGACGAGCCGCCGGAUGGCGGCCUCCACGCCGCCAGCUCUCGAGCGCGCAGGCGACCUCGAAGCCCACCCUCCACACGUGCUCCACGUAUCUGGCGUUCCCCAUCUGGUCCACGUACCUGUGACGAGCCGCCGGAUGGCGGCCUCCACGCCGCCAGCUCUCGAGCGCGCCAGCGACCUCGAAGCCCACCCUCCACACGUGCUCCACGUACCUGGCGUUCCCCAUCUGGUCGCCGAAGUGCGGGCGACACAGCAUCGGCACCUCCUCGCAAACGCUCUCCGUCCUCGAGUUCCAGCCCCCGUGCAUCCAGAACCCGGCCACGGCUGCGUGCCGGAGCACCUCCUCUUGCGGCGCCCACUGCACCACCAUCCCGUGCCCGCGUGUCACCUCCUCGAACCCAUCCGGCAGCCGUGUCAGCCCGUCCGUGGCGACCAGGCCCGGCCGGACCACCCAGAGGAACGGCACGCCGCUGCCGGCGAUGCCCCAGGCUCUCCACCAGGUCCCUGGCCGACAUGGCGUUUUUGCAAAAAUAACCCUGGAUCGAGUAGUAUUCAUCCUAGGAUCGACUACGUGGCGGUCAAAGCCUAGCUGGCGGCCGCUGACUCGGCCAAGUCAGCAAAUACGUAGACGAAAUCGUACAUACGGACCAAAGUGAACCCUGUGCGCAAGUACAUGGACCGUAGGGUAUUUUGAAGUAGUGGUACCAAAGUGUCAUCCGGCUCAAGUUUUGUGACCUACAGUGAAUUUUUCUCAUUAAGGAUUAAUGCUUUUGAUAACUGAAUUGAGAAAACAGAUUUACAAAAUGAUGUGGCCUAAACUUGUUCCUAAUGGUCAUUGCUAUCAUGUACAUUGACAGUUCAACCAACUGCUCCGAGAGGAAUGAAGGCGACGCACAAGUUGGCGUCUAUGAAGCUUCGACGAAGCCAUUCCAGCUCUUCUAGAGCCACUUCCAGAGCCGCAAGGAGAGCCUAAAAGUCACGGUACGUUCGAUCAAGCACACUCG